ACUCAAAGGAAUAGACGGGGGCCCGCACAAGCGGUGGAGCAUGUGGUUCAAUUCGAAGCAACGCGCAGAACCUUACCAGCCCUUGACAUCCCGGUCGCGAGUACCAGAGAUGGAACUCUUCAGUUCGGCUGGACCGGAGACAGGUGCUGCAUGGCUGUCGUCAGCUCGUGUCGUGAGAUGUUGGGUUAAGUCCCGCAACGAGCGCAACCCUCGCCCUUAGUUGCCAUCAUUUAGUUGGGCACUCUAAGGGGACUGCCGGUGAUAAGCCGCGAGGAAGGUGGGGAUGACGUCAAGUCCUCAUGGCCCUUACGGGCUGGGCUACACACGUGCUACAAUGGCGGUGACAAUGGGAUGCAAUGGGGAAACCCUGCGCAAAUCUCAAAAAGCCGUCUCAGUUCGGAUUGUGCUCUGCAACUCGAGCACAUGAAGUUGGAAUCGCUAGUAAUCGCAGAUCAGCACGCUGCGGUGAAUACGUUCCCGGGCCUUGUACACACCGCCCGU
rnacentral:rRNA from 1 species